rnacentral:lncRNA from 1 species
AUGAGUCCACGCGGGGCUGACGGACUCCCUGCCCGCCCAUGUCCCGCACCCUCCUCCGUCUCAGCGGAAACACAGGGGCCAGGAAGCCCUUCAGAAGUUGUCAGGGGUGACCCGGGGAGAGGAGUCCCGCGCAGAAAGUGCAAACGCCUUCGUGGCGGGUGGCUGCGCCCUUCCCCUGGGGCCCCUGCAGCAGAGAUGCUGUUACCUGUGCUGGCCAUACAGGGCAUGCUGGGGGCUCUGAUUUGUGUGAUCAUUUGCUCAGCGGCCCCCUCUGUGACACAGGCAGUGGAGACUACACCUACCCUUUCAGGAAUGACUCCCUGGAGAGCACCUACAUAGCCAACCAGCCCACCCAGGCCACCUGCCAAGAGGCUGAGCACACCGUCCUCCAGACGGAGUCUUCUUCUCCAUCCUCCUGGGCAUCCGAAUGGGGGAAGCUGUCCUGUGCCUCAGCCAUGUUGUCGGUGGACUCUGACACCUUCUGCAAUACAUGUGUCUGAAAAGGACAGGUCAGUGAGUCUAGAACCUAGGAAUUUUCAAGUCAUAUCCCCUGACCUAUUCCUCACAUCUCCCUCCUUCCCUGACCCCAUACUCCCAGAGGUAAUCCAGUAAUUGGGAAAUGCCUUUUGAAAUACAUAACUUCAUUUGCCACUUGGGGCUGAAUUUUCUUUCAGGAGAACAUAACUGACUUAUGACCAGCCUAAGAAAUUGCAGCUGAUUGGCAGAGUUUCCUGGAUUCAGGAGGACUGGAUUUGGUGAAUAUCAAUCCCCAGCGUACUGAGAAGCUGAAGAAAAGUCCCCAGUUUUAAUAAAAGCCAUCAGUUUCCAUCUUCUUUGCUUGAA